UAUGUUUUUGAAUUGCAGAAACAACUUUGUCUUUUAAAUAUUAUUGUAUCUAGAAAUUUGGUUGAUAAAAUUCCCUCCAAAAUUUUGCCUAGGCUCUCUAAUAUUACUGGAAUCGCCACUGCAUGCACCGCAUGGGUCAAAGUUCUAGUUUACUUUAUAUUUUCUCAAUAGACAUGUAACUUUAUUACGUGUAUAAAAGACAUGGACAAAAAUACAUUACUUGACAAGUAAUUCGCGACUAAAAUAUUAAAGCACCUUUAAAAUGUUACUAAAAGAAAUAUAGUAAGUGAUUGUUUUUAAUAGAAAUAGAAUUUAUGCUUCAAAAAAAAAAAUAGAAAU
rnacentral:lncRNA from 1 species